rnacentral:tRNA from 1 species
GGUGAAAUGGCUGAAAAUAGGCAAUAAACUGUAAAUUUAUUUAUGAAUUUAAAAUUCUUUUACCA